rnacentral:rRNA from 1 species
AUUGAACGCUGGCGGCAUGCUUUACACAUGCAAGUCGAACGGUAACAGGCCGCAAGGUGCUGACGAGUGGCGAACGGGUGAGUAAUGCAUCGGAAUGUGCCCAGUCGUGGGGGAUAACGCAGCGAAAGCUGUGCUAAUACCGCAUACGAUCUAUGGAUGAAAGCGGGGGACCGUAAGGCCUCGCGCGAUUGGAGCGGCCGAUGUCAGAUUAGGUAGUUGGUGGGGUAAAGGCCUACCAAGCCAACGAUCUGUAGCUGGUCUGAGAGGACGACCAGCCACACGGGGACGGAGACACGGCCCAGACUCCUACGGGAGGCAGCAGUGGGGAAUUUUGGACAAUGGGCGCAAGCCUGAUCCAGCAAUGCCGCGUGCAGGAAGAAGGCCUUCGGGUUGUAAACUGCUUUUGUACGGAACGAAACGGUCUGGGUUAAUACCCUGGACUAAUGACGGUACCGUAAGAAUAAGCACCGGCUAACUACGUGUCAGCCGCCGCCGUAAGAC